GACGAACGCUGGCGGCGUGCUUAACACAUGCAAGUCGAACGGAAAGGCCCUGCUUGUGUGGUAUUCGCGUGGGGCGAGCGGGUGAGUAACGUGGGAGUUACCUGCUGCUCAUUGGGAGAUGACUGGGAAAAAGGGUCUCAUAUAGCAUAGAAGAGCUCCUUCGUGUGAGGGUUGGAAAGAUUUUUUGGUCUGGGAUGGGCUCGCGGCCUGCCUGCUUGUUGGUGGGGUAAUGGGCUACCAAGGCGGGCUCGGGCAGGCGGCCUGAGAGGGUGGACGGCCACAAUGGGACUGAGAUACGGCCCAGACUCCUACGGGGAGGAACAGUGGGGAAUAAUGCACAAUUGGCGGAAGCCUGAUGCAACGACGCCGCGUGGGGGAUGACGGGCUUCGGGUUGUAAACUCCUUUCGGCAGGUGCGAAGCUGUUAGUGACGGUACCUGGAAAAGAAGCACCGGCUAACUACGUG
rnacentral:rRNA from 1 species